CUGAUCAUGAGCGGGAGUAGUUGAGGAGCAUCAUAGCCAUGUGCUGAAAGGGAGUCUUUCGGGUUUGAAUAAAUGCAACUAAAGCAAAUUUUGAAGGAAAUAUUAGCCAUUUUUCAUGCUUUCUAGGGGUAAACAAAUGGGAACUA